rnacentral:rRNA from 1 species
AUUGAACGCUGGCGGCAGGCCUAACACAUGCAAGUCGAACGGUAACAGGAAGAAGCUUGCUUCUUUGCUGACGAGUGGCGGACGGGUGAGUAAUGUCUGGGAAACUGCCUGAUGGAGGGGGAUAACUACUGGAAACGGUAGCUAAUACCGCAUAACGUCGCAAGACCAAAGAGGGGGACCUUCGGGCCUCUUGCCAUCGGAUGUGCCCAGAUGGGAUUAGCUAGUAGGUGGGGUAACGGCUCACCUAGGCGACGAUCCCUAGCUGGUCUGAGAGGAUGACCAGCCACCAUGGAACUGAGACACGGUCCAGACCCCUACGGGAGGCAGCAGUGGGGAAUAUUGAACAAUGGGCGCAAGCCUGAUGCAGCCAUGCCGGGUGUAUGAAGAAGGCCUUCGGGUUGUAAAGUACUUUCAGCGGGGAGGAAGGGAGUAAAGUUAAUACCUUUGCUCAUUGACGUUACCCGCAGAAGAAGCACCGGCUAACUCCGU